GACGAACGCCGGCGGCGUGCCUAAUACAUGCAAGUCGAACGCACGAAGUUGAAGAGCUUGCUCUUUAACCAAGUGAGUGGCGGACGGGUGAGUAACACGUGGGUAACCUGCCCAUUAGAGGGGGAUAACAUUCGGAAACGGAUGCUAAUACCGCAUAGUUUCAGGAAUCGCAUGAUUCUUGAAGGAAAGGUGGCUUCGGCUACCACUAAUGGAUGGACCCGCGGCGUAUUAGCUAGUUGGUGAGGUAAUGGCUCACCAAGGCAAUGAUACGUAGCCGACCUGAGAGGGUGAUCGGCCACACUGGGACUGAGACACGGCCCAGACUCCUACGGGAGGCAGCAGUAGGGAAUCUUCCGCAAUGGACGAAAGUCUGACGGAGCAACGCCGCGUGAGUGAAGAAGGUUUUCGGAUCGUAAAACUCUGUUGUUAAAGAAGAACAAGGAUGAGAGUAACUGCUCAUCCCCUGACGGUAUUUAACCAGAAAGCCACGGCUAACUACGUGCCAGCAGCCGCGGUAAUACGUAGGUGGCAAGCGUUGUCCGGAUUUAUUGGGCGUAAAGCGAGCGCAGGCGGUUCUUUAAGUCUGAUGUGAAAGCCCCCGGCCCAACCGGGGAGGGUCAUUGGAAACUGGAGAACUUGAGUGCAGAAGAGGAGAGUGGAAUUCCACGUGUAGCGGUGAAAUGCGUAGAUAUGUGGAGGAACACCAGUGGCGAAGGCGACUCUCUGGUCUGUAACUGACGCUGAGGCUCGAAAGCGUGGGGAGCAAACAGG
rnacentral:rRNA from 1 species